rnacentral:tRNA from 1 species
GUCUCAGUAGCAUAGUGGUUAGGGAACAGGCCCGGAAAGGUUGAGACGCGGGUUCGAUUCCCGCCUCAGAUG